rnacentral:rRNA from 1 species
AUACGGAGGAUCCGAGCGUUAUCCGGAUUUAUUGGGUUUAAAGGGUGCGCAGGCGGCCAUUUAGGUCAGCGGUUAAAUCGUGGGGCUCAACCCCAUUCUGCCGUUGAUACUGGGUGGCUUGAUUGCGGUCGAGGUUGGCGGAAUUCGUUGUGUAGCGGUUAAAUGCAUAGAUAUGACGAAGAACACCGAUUGCGUAGGCAGCUGACCAGACCGCAAAUGACGCUCAUGCACGAAAGUGCGGGGAUCGAACAGGAUUAGAUACCCUGGUAGUCCGCACAGUAAACGAUGAAUACUUGUUUUCGGCGAUAUAAUGUCGGAGGCAAAGCGAAAGCGAUAAGUAUUCCACCUGGGGAGUACGCCGGCAACGGUGAAACUCAAAGGAAUUGACGGGG